rnacentral:lncRNA from 10 species
GAGCGGAGAGGCCGCAGUGCGACGGGCAGAGCCAAGGAGCCACUCUCCCGGGCAACAGAGACCGGAGAGGCCAGAGGGCAGGACGGCUCUGGGCGGAGGGGCCCCCAGAAGAGAGGUGUCCGAGUCCUCAGGCCAAGCACUGCAGAGCUAGUCCCUGCGAGGAGCCCCUCAGAAACACUGGCUUACCAGCACCUACCCGUCAGGAUCUUUGUGGCUCUGUUUGACUAUGACCCCGUGUCAAUGUCGCCCAAUCCUGAUGCUGGAGAAGAAGAGCUUCCCUUCCGAGAGGGUCAGAUCCUGAAGGUGACUGAUUCGCCAUCAGGGCUCAGAAUUCCAAACACCAGCUGGGUCUUCCCUCCUCCCUCCUUUCCUCCACUGGAGGUAGCACAGAAUCAUGGUGGAGAACAUGGCUUCUAGAGCAGAUGACAUGGGUUUGGACCUGACUCUGCUGCUUCUAGCUGUGUAACCUUG